AAUUCUUUGGCAGUGUCUUAGCUGGUUGUUGUGAGUAUUAGCUAAGGAAGCAAUCAGCAAGUAUACUGCCCUAGAAGU
rfam:Rattus norvegicus chromosome 5, whole genome shotgun sequence.